rnacentral:lncRNA from 1 species
CCGUACAGUACUAUACAGCUCCUCCUGCUGGUAACUGACCUCCAGAACAGAGCUUUAAGUGACCGUACAGUACUAUACAGCUCCUCCUGCUGGUAACUGACCUCCAGAACAGAGCUUUAAGUGACCGUACAGUACUAUACAGCUCCAGUAGAAGUCCAUUAUGGUAGAGUUGUGUAGCAUGUUGAGGAGAUGUGAGGAAGGUUAUGGGGUGAAGGAAUGAGCUUGUGAGGCCGAGGUGUGGGACUGGUGCCAUGUAUGUAGCUGGUCAGGCAGUGUUGACAUCCGGAACCACAUGUACUGCUAUUCCUAUAUAUCAUUUAGGAUGUACAUUGGUGUGUGUAGGUGGAGAAUCAGUAGAAAAGGCCUGGGGGUUCAUACUCUACUCUACCCCUCCUGUUGCCAUGGGAUGCAAUAAGAACACAAUAGAAACCUCCUCCUAAAUAUAAUAAAAACACAUAGUGACCUUCAUUAGGAAACAAAACAAUCCAUGACCAGAUUCAGAAUGUCUUUUUUUUAAGAGUUUGGGUUUAUGAUGAUUCCAUGUUUAAUUAGUGUUUUUAUUUUUUUCCUCUGUCCCCAUUGAACUGAGGAGACCCUUCUGUAGCAUGAUGAAAGGGUUUACGCUAGGGUUGACCCUCCUAUCCAGGAACUCUCAGUAUAGGGCCUUUAAAGAAACUACAUCUCCCAGUAUAGGACCUUUAAAGAAACUACAACUCCCAUCUCCAUGCUAACCAUCUCUUCACCUGAUUGGAGAGGAGUACUGUGUGAGAGACCCAUCUAUCCCAGUCUUAACUUCAGGCUUAUAGUUACUCCAUUCUAAAAUGUGCUGUAUCUGGGAGGCCAAUGAGAUCCCAAUCCUGAAGCCUAAAGUCUGUAUAAGCUGGCUGGUAGUUUCCAUGGUUCUCAUCUACAUAUCCCUAAUGAGAGAUCUCCCCUGAACGAACACAGACAGGACUGAAGUAGAUUCUCUCAGACAGGACUUGUUGACUGAAGUAGACCCUCUCAGACUCAAUAGCCUUCUUUUUCACAGGUGGUUUAGCUCUGAGAGGGAGUGCAGGGCGAACGGAGGGAGGUAUGUCCUGUUGGCUCUGUGUCACACAUGAGAUUGUUUUCACGGUUGUGAGGUGGGUUGGUGUUGGUCCUGCGUGGACCCAGAGAAGGAGAGGUCUCGGUGGGGCAGGGGGAGGACUGGACGUGGGCUGGGCUGGAGGCAGGCUGCAUGGGGGAUGGUAUGAUGGUUGUAGCCUUGGAUCUCCAGCAACACAACGCUGUCUGUCCUGAGGAGGGCUUGUGAAGCUUUCAAACCUAUGAUCUAAUAGUAACAUAACAGCUUUUAUAAUCAUGAUGUUGACAGCAUUAGGGGCCUCGAUCUCUCUACUUCUGAGUCUUUUCAAUAGUGUGAUUGAAAACAAAAAUGUACAUUAUUAUUAUUCUAUUUAAAAAAGAAGACAAGAUGUGUUCUGUAUGGACCUGUAUUUACCCAUCAGUUUUUGAUGUUGAAACACUGUGAUUAUUCUAAAUGUUGUUGGACAACAUGAGUUUAAGAAGAAAAAAAGACAGUUGGAGGAAACGUUAUGGUGGAUUGGUAAUACUUAGGCUGAAAAAAUACAAAGUAAAAGGCUAGCUAUUUUCCUUAUCCAGUACUUAUCCAAGUCACUUUAACCUUUCUUCUCUUUCUACUUUCUUUAUAUUAGAUAAAUGUGAAUGUUAAAUGGACUCAAUUAACGUACUUGAAUAGUAACUUGGGGUUGAGUCCCAAAUAACACCCUAUCCCCUACAUGGUGUACAACUUUUCACCAGGGGCCGAUGGACCUCGACCAGGGCCCAUGGGGCUCUGGUCAAAAGUAGUGCACUAUAUAGGGAAUAAGGUGCAAUGUAGGACUUGCCCUUGGUCUUUUCUGUCUCCUUUCGCCCCCCAGUACUCCAGUGAGAGCUCUGCUGGAGUUUCUAGUGCCUUCCAUUAUUUAUUUUGCUUUUUUUUUAACAGUUUUUUUGACAUGAUGGAGUAACGGAAGUGGUGUUGAUUUGUGCUUCGUUGAAGUGCUUUACUGGCUCUGUGGGUACAAAGGUCAAAAAGGUACACUGGGAAGGGGGGAAGGUGGGCUAGGGUAACUCGUUUCCUUUUUCUUUGUGCCAUUUAUUUUUUUAGUAUUCGGGUUAAAUACAUUUGAUUUGGGGGGGGACAGACAAACUUAGUCGUAGACUGCAGAGAGUAGGAAUGGACCUGAUGGUUAAUAAAAAGUUGUUGAAGCUUGGACAACUCUGUAUUUGAAAGGAACAAAUGAACGCAGACAACAGAACAGAGUGAGGCUGAACCAGGGUUACCUAACAUUUCAAAUAAAGGGUCUGUUAAGAACGGAAUGCUUGACUGUUCCGUUAGCCGUUCUGUUUGUUCUAGUGUUCUGGGGACACGUUUCAGAUACUAGAACCAGUCAGUCAGUAUGCCAGAGCUCUCUAGCUAGCACUGAGCCUAUCAUUAGACCCACUACAACAGUCAGGGGAAUCUCUAUCUCCAACACAUGGCGGUAGUACUGUACACUGUGCUACUGGGUUUGACCAACAAGUGACUUCCUCAUCGCCAAUGCAAUGCUGGGGGUUCAAGCCCAGUUAUUUCAUCAUCUGCUUAAUGCUGCCCCAGUCUCUAAUGAAACCACCUGUGGCUUUUAGUGCAGGUUCGUAGCUUAUUGUAAAGUAGCAGACAGUCUCACCACUCACAAUGCAAAGAAAUGAAUGGUUGGUUCCAUCAUUAUUACAGUUUUUUGACAUGGAUAUUUUAGUUUUUGGUCGAUGUCCUUCUGGUCUUUUUGGAAACCUUACAAAAUGUUGUAAUGAUGAACAGUGUUUCUUUCUGGUUACCUGACAGUGUUGUAGACAGUAAAACUGGUCCAAUCUGUGGACACCAGAAUAGUUCAUUAAGCCCCACAUCCUUCUCAAAGCAGCUGUACAAACCAUUACCUGGGGUCAAACAUGUUUAAAAGUGAAUACCGUAGAAAAGUUAUUUCUAAUAAACACUCGUCACCUUAACUACUGAUUAGCUUACAAGGACUGCUAGAUCUAUCGCCUUCUGCUUACCGCUUCAGUCUCUACUCACUGUAAACAUGUCCGCUACGGGAAAUCACUUGAAAAGAUAUGGUAGAUUCUCAACCAUUUAAAACCCUUAAAAACAGUUGGGGGGUCCUUUGUAAAACGUUGCUUUUGCCUGUUUUGUGGAUUGAACUUUUCGUACUUACCGGAGGCCCUCAGUACAGUACUUAGCAAGUUUGGUUGAAGCUGUGAACGUGACAAAAAUACACUUUGCUUAGUUAUUUUGUUGAUGAUGGAUACUUUUGAAAAACAAAUAAAACCUUUCCAAUGCCACUGCCUCAGUGCCAUUACCAUGCAGUAAUGACUUUAGCUACAUGAACAUCUGCUCACUCUAAAGAAUACUGAGCAAUAUUUACAAUGUUUACUUCCUCUUAACUAAGUGUCAUACUGUAUGAUACAGUGGCUGCAAUGCAUAACAUGCAAUGGUGAACAGGUUAUGGUGAGGUUACAGUGGUGAAACUGAAGACCUCCUCUGAUGAACACAUUUACACUAGCUCUGGUCCAGCUCUGUGCUCCAAAGGAUCAUUGUCGUGAGAGAGUAGCCGAACCACGCCCUGGACCAGAGCUACAUUUACAUAGUUUGAGAGGAGGGAAGUUACAGAUUUUACAAAGUGUAAUAAUAUUAAUUUUAGCAUUCAGAAUACCGAUCGAUUCUGCUACUUCUCCUGUUCUUUUCCUUGUUACUGUUACAAUACAACUCCUCCUUUGCCUUCUUGUAACUGAUUUAUGUCCUGCAAAGUGCACAUAAAAUGUUGGAAUGUCAUUCAAUUCACCAUUCGUCUGACUGACACAGAAGUGGUUGAAUAAAGAGCUUGUUUCUCUAGAUAACAUCUGGCAUGUUACCUUUUCAUCACCGCUUAUUAUACUGUAAAGUUAUUACCACAAAACAACUCAAAACGUGUACACAGCCACCCUCACAAAAACAAAACAAUUCAAGGUGAUUUAAAGUAUUUUGUUUUGUACUACUUAUCAGACAUUUUUUGUUUUGCAAUUUUAUGUCUCAAGAAACAUCUAGUGACUUAAUGAAUUGGUUUUUCCUCAUGCUGUUUAACAUUGUACAGAAUGUUUUAGAAUAAUACUAAAAUGGAAAACCAAGCGCAACCUGUUAGGAAUCAUUGGCAGCGGUUAACUGUUCUGCAUUAAGUAGAGGCUGUUCAAGCUUCAAAUAAAACUGCGCUUUGCGCUCCAAUAAAAUAUAUUUGUUACUUUAUUUGUAAACUUAAUAAAUAAAAGUAAUUUAAAUGAAUCAAGUUAUUGGUCUUUUAAUCUUGUCCUAAAUGUUUGUUUUUAU